AAGUCGCAUUUAAACACAAGAUUUCAUGUGUAAGAAGCAGGAAAGUCGGAACCGUUUUCUAGUCCCUUCCCCUUUAGUACAAAACCCCCAAAUCCCGACCUAUACACACAGCUCUCCCAUAUAUACACACAAACUCUCUGUAUCUGUACAUCGAUCUUUUUCGAUGUAUAAGUCACUUAUUCUUGCGAUUCUGUUACUUAUAAGCUGCUUUGAAGCUUCGUGUUCGAUCACAACUGGAUCUCGAUCACUUCUUCGAGCUGUUAACACUAACGCUCAAGAUCACACUAACUUUGCGAUUGAUUUGAAUUCGACUAGCUUCGAUGCGGUUCUGAAAGACACGCCUGCGACGUUCGCGAUUGUUGAAUUCUUUGCUCACUGGUGUCCGGCUUGCAGGAACUAUAAACCACAAUAUGAAAAAGUAGCCAAGCUUUUCAAUGGUGCGAAUGCAGUUCAUCCGGGGCUAAUUUUGAUGGUCAGGGUUGACUGUGCAGAAAAGAUAAAUAGUAAUCUUUGUGAUAAAUUCUCUGUUGAUCAUUACCCACUGCUUCUAUGGGGUCCACCAUCUCAAUUUGUCUCCGGCAGUUGGGAACCAAAGAAGGAGAAUAGUAAAAUAAUCUCCAUUGAUGAUGGAAGGACGGCUGAUAGAUUGCUGAAAUGGAUUAAUAAGCAAAUGGGCAGCUCGUACAGCUUAGAUGAUGGGAAAUAUGAGAAUGAGCAUGUUUUAUCAAAUCUCUCAGAUCCUGGACAGAUUGCACGUGCUGUUUACGAUAUUGAGGAAGCAACAUCAAUGGCCUUUAACUUAAUCUUAGAACACAAGAUGAUAAAAUCUAAGACUCGAGCAUCUUUUAUAGAAUUUCUUCAACUUAUCGUGGCGCAUCACCCUUCUAGGAGGUGCCGGAAAGGAAGUGCGAAUAUACUAGUAAACUUUGAUGAUUUGUGUCCAUCAGAUAUCUUGUCAGGCAAGAAACAAGAAUGUAUGACAAGUGGACCAAUUACCUUAAGUAAUUCUCAUAUUUGUGGCAGCGAAGUUCCUCGUGGAUAUUAUAUGUUUUGUCGUGGUAGCAAUAACGAAACAAGAGGCUUUAGUUGCGGAUUGUGGGUUUUACUACAUUCACUUUCUGUAAGAAUUGAAGAUGGAGAAAGCCAGAUGGCAUUUUCAGCCACAUGCAAGUUUAUUCACAAUUUCUUUAUCUGCGAAGAGUGUCGCCAACAUUUUUAUGAAAUGUGCUCAAGUGUCUCUAAUCCUUUCAACAGUACCCGUGAUUAUGCCCUCUGGUUGUGGACUGCGCAUAACAAUGUUAACAGUAGACUAAUGAAAGAAGAAGCCUCUCAAGGAACUGGUGAUCCUAAAUUCCCAAAGAUGAUGUGGCCUCCAAAACAACUUUGCCCUUCUUGCUAUCUUCAGAGCCCCCAGAGUGAUGCCGAGAAUCAAAUCGAUUGGGACCAGAAUGAGGUUUUCAAAUUCUUGGCUAGCUAUUAUGGGAAUACACUCGUGAAACUGUACAAAGACAAGGAGCUUCUUGGUGAGGCUGGAAGUGACAAGGCAGUUAUCGAUGAUUUAGCAACUUCAACAAAUGCACUUGUUCCUUUGGGGGCAGCACUUGCUAUUGCUUUAGCAAGUUGUGCAUUUGGAGCACUCGCCUGCUUCUGGCGUUCAAAACAGAAGAAUCGAAAGUACUUAUACCUUCAUUCUUUAAAGAGCAUAUAACUGUUAAAAGUCAUAAUCUCUUUUAGAAUAGAGUAGAAGAGUCGAACACGAAAACAUUUGUCAACAUUUUAUUAAAAGGAAAAAAGAGAGAAAAACAUGGUGGGAGUGAAGCUAUUUGAAAAGAGAAUUUUAGAGAAAGGGAUUGGAGUUUUGCUAGGUGGCACAAUUGCUUUCUUAUUUGUUUUUCUUCCACCAACGUUUCAGGCAAAGGAGAAGCUGGAGUUGAGAUUUUUAAAAGGAAACACUUUAUAUAUGGCAAUGAAUUAAGGUUGGAAAGCAAGUGAAACCAGGCAUCUGGCACUUCCUGAUAUGCUAGGCAUUUGGCACUUGGUUUGCAGAUAUCAGGCAUAGUAUAAGAUAUCUGUUAAAGGUUUCAUCCACCUGUUUAUCGGAAGUUAUUUUGAAGUGAUACAUGUACAAGCUAGUUACUUCAGUCAGAUAUUGGAUGCUGUGAAGGUAACAUUAGUCGAUUCAAGUAUUCCAUAGCCUUGUAAUGAGAAAUAGGGGAUCAAAAUGAACCCAUUACUGAUUACUAGCAAGUAUAAUUUGUCAAGAAUACUAAUUGGUGUUACUCCAUUACCUAACAACCAUCAGCUCUUUUAUAAAUUUGUAGCUUAUACCC